rnacentral:rRNA from 1 species
GAUGAACGCUGGCGGCGUGCCUAAUACAUGCAAGUCGAGCGAACAGACGAGGAGCCUGCUCCUCUGACGUUAGCGGCGGACGGGUGAGUAACACGUGGAUAACCUACCUAUAAGACUGGGAUAACUUCGGGAAACCGGAGCUAAUACCGGAUAAUAUAUUGAACCGCAUGGUUCAAUAGUGAAAGACGGUUUUGCUGUCACUUAUAGAUGGAUCCGCGCCGCAUUAGCUAGUUGGUAAGGUAACGGCUUACCAAGGCAACGAUGCGUAGCCGACCUGAGAGGGUGAUCGGUCACACUGGAACUGAGACACGGUCCAGACUCCUACGGGAGGCAGCAGUAGGGAAUCUUCCGCAAUGGGCGAAAGCCUGACGGAGCAACGCCGCGUGAGUGAUGAAGGUCUUCGGAUCGUAAAACUCUGUUAUUAGGGAAGAACAAAUGUGUAAGUAACUAUGCACGUCUUGACGGUACCUAAUCAGAAAGCCACGGCUAACUACGUG